AAGAAAUCAAUAUAAAUCCAUUUAAGCCAUUCAAUUUAUCACCACUAUAGAGGUUUAUAAAAAAAAUAAAAGCAUUCCAUUCAAUCCAAACAGCUUAAUAAACUACUUGUUCCAAAAGAACCAGUAACAUUAUUGAUUACAUAAGCAUUGACAUAACUCUUUAGUUUUAAACUACACCAUCUUGUUCAGCACUGUUCUUUUGUUCUCCAGCCAUGUUAGCAUACGGUGUGCAUAUAUUACUCUGAGCUUGUGGAGGAUAUUCUUUCAUGCGCAUCAUUACAACACAAAAUUAGCGAUUAAGAUAUCAAUGUGUACUAGCAAAGUCAAUUCCAAUAACGCGGACAGGAACCAAUGUAUGUGUUUGCAAAGGAAAACAACAAGAUAUAUAGAUUUUGCGCAUGACAUGGAACAAUGUUAUUUCCACAAUUUUUUAGUAUGUGUUACACUAUGUCAGAGUGAUUUAUCCAUUCAAUUUUUGUAAUUAACAUAAAACAACCUGCAUGAAAUAAAACUAGAUAUUGACUUCAUAUCUAAAUGUCCUAAACGAUCCAUUUUAUGCAUUUUCAUAACUGAUUUAUGCCAAUCAUAAUUUUCACGCAGGGUCUACCGGUCCCGCAACCCGAUGUUUCCAAAAUUCAUCUUUAUAAAAACAAAAAUAUACAAAUACCUAAAAAGCACAAAAGGAGGUUCAUACAACUUAGAUGAUUUAGUUUGUUAUUCUCACAUAUGAGGUUCAUAAGCAUGUAUAACUACGUCCAAACUCAUUCUGCUUACUACCGGUCCUGCACCGCUAUGUUUGCAAAUUUAAUCUACUACAAAACUCUCCAUUCACUACAUGGUAAAAAUACAAAGUCCACGCAGCGUAAGUCAUGCCGCCAGUUAUUUAUAUAUAUCGCUUUUAGAAAAGCAAACAUACCAAAUGCAGGGGCAGAUCACCCUAGGUUUCCUCCACAGAUAAGACUUGAACUUGGUUAUCUAUCAGCCUAUGAUUUCUCCUUCGCCCUACAAACAACUUUUUUAAUGUUCAUUAAAAUUCACCAUGGCACAUCAAAGGGAACAAAAUUUCUAAAAUCAAGGCUUCGUGAACUAAUUAAGGCCAAAGUUAUGUCCUGCAGUUGAAUCCAAAGUACUCUAUAACUUAAGCAACAGCUUUACAUAAGCCCCCAACUUAACAGCAGUACGGAAACAGCAUAGAUAUCUUACCACUACAAUCCUGUGCAGUACAGAUUCAAAUCUAGUUGUGCAUUACAACCAAGGAUUUUGCAACCAAAUACAUAAUGCAGAACAUUACCUGCGGCAGCACAUAAACCAUAACCAACUCAGCAAACACAUAGAUAUCAUACCACUUCAAUCAUGUGCAGUACAAAUUAAUAUCUAUAUGUGCUGCACAAGCAAGGCUUUUGCAAUUAAUUACACCCGGUACUAUGUCAUGCAGUUGAAUACCAAGAAACCUGUUACUAAAUCAAAAUCUAAACAGAGACCCCUAACUUAAUAGCAGUGCAGAAGAACCAACUAUAAUUACAACAUGUAGCCGCAAAGAAAACACACAUUAUGUAAAGCAAAACAUUACGUGAUGCGACACAUAAUAAAAAGGCAGAACCAACUUAGGAAACGCAUGGAUAUCUUACCAUUUUCAACCCUGUGCAGUACAAAUUAAUAUCUAUAUGUGCAUUACACAAAAGGGGGUAACACACAUCAGAGCACACCCAACAAGCUCACCCACUGUACAGGAAAAAAACCCUCUUCAACAACAAAAAACAACAAAAGAGGAUAAUUUCAAAUGAUCGUACAUAGCCGGAAGAAAUCAAAAGAGGAUACACAAAUUAAGCACCGGCACUGUAGGACAUUCAUUAAAAUAAAUCGUUCAAAAAUCCCUCAAUUGGACCCUAAUUUGAACGCUAAGUAUUACAUGUAAUUGAAUUACAGUCUCUAAUUAAACCAAUUAGUCGGUUACAUACCUGAACUCAACGUUAAUUGAAAUCUUUUCGUCCCACGCUCCUUUUCUUCCUUCAAUGCUCAGCACGACGGGUUGUUGCAGGCGUCAAUCAUGUCAUCCUUGUAACCGCUAUUUUACUAGAGUUGGAUGCGGGAUUUAACUAGAUUUGAAUACGGGAUUAUUAUCCUACCGCUCCAGAUGGUCAUACUAAACUCCCCAUUCACACACCCAACAAAAAGAAAGGCAGUUUCUAAUUUUUAAAAAUUA
rnacentral:lncRNA from 1 species